rnacentral:rRNA from 1 species
AUUGAACGCUGGCGGCAGGCUUAACACAUGCAAGUCGGACGGUAACAGGGAGGAAGCUUGCUUUCUUUGCUGACGAGUGGCGGACGGGUGAGUAAUGCUUGGGAAUCUGUUUUAUGGAGGGGGAUAACUACGGGAAACUGUAGCUAAUACCGCGUAAUAUCGAGAGAUUAAAGUGUGGGACCGUAAGGCCACAUGCCAUAGAGUGAGCCCAAGUGGGAUUAGGUAGUUGGUGGGGUAAAGGCCUACCAAGCCGUCGAUCUCUAGCUGGUCUGAGAGGAUGACCAGCCACACUGGGACUGAGACACGGCCCAGACUCCUACGGGAGGCAGCAGUGGGGAAUAUUGCACAAUGGGCGCAAGCCUGAUGCAGCCAUGCCGCGUGAAUGAAGAAGGCCUUCGGGUUGUAAAGUUCUUUCGGUGGUGAGGAAGGUUGUAAUGUUAAUAGCAUUAUAAUUUGACGUUAGCCACAGAAGAAGCACCGGCUAACUCCGUGCCAGCAGCCGCGGUAAUACGGAGGGUGCGAGCGUUAAUCGGAAUAACUGGGCGUAAAGGGCACGCAGGCAGAUACUUAAGUGAGGUGUGAAAGCCCUGGGCUUAACCUAGGAAUUGCAUUUCAUACUGGGUAUCUAGAGUAUUUUAGGGAGGGGUAGAAUUCCACGUGUAGCGGUGAAAUGCGUAGAGAUGUGGAGGAAUACCGAAGCGAAGCAGCCCCUUGGGGGAAUACUGACGCUCAUGUGCGAAAGCGUGGGGAGCAAACAGG